rnacentral:rRNA from 1 species
GCUUGCUUUUUGCUGACGAGUGGCGAACGGGUGCGUAACGCGUAUGCAACCUACCUUCUUCAGAGGAAUAGCCCAGAGAAAUUUGGAAUAAUACCUCAUAAUAAUAUUUUUUCGCAUGUUAAAAUAUUUAAAGCUCCGGCGGAAGAAGAUGGGCAUGCGUAACAUUAGUUUGUUGGUGAGGUAAUGGCUCACCAAGACUACGAUGUUUAGGGGGUCUGAGAGGAUGAUCCCCCACACUGGUACUGAGACACGGACCAGACUCCUACGGGAGGCAGCAGUGAGGAAUAUUGGUCAAUGGACGAAAGUCUGAACCAGCCAUGCCGCGUGAAGGAUGACUGCCCUAUGGGUUGUAAACUUCUUUUGUAUAGGAAGAAACCCCUCUACGUGUAGAGGGCUGACGGUACUAUUCGAAUAAGCACCGGCUAACUCCGUGCCAGCAGCCGCGGUAAUACGGAGGGUGCGAGCGUUAUCCGGAAUUAUUGGGUUUAAAGGGUGCGUAGGCGGAAAUUUAAGUCAGUGGUGAAAGCCUACAGCUUAACUGUAGAAUUGCCAUUGAAACUGAAUUUCUUGAAUCUAAUUGAAGUAGGCGGAAUAUGACAUGUAGCGGUGAAAUGCUUAGAUAUGUCAUAGAACACCGAUAGCGAAGGCAGCUUACUAAGUUAGUAUUGACGCUAAUGCACGAAAGCGUGGGGAGCGAACAGGAUUAGAUACCCUGGUAGUCCACGCCGUAAACGAUGAUUACUCGCUAUUGGCGAUACACUGUCAGUGGCUAAGCGAAAG